rnacentral:lncRNA from 1 species
NNNNNNNNNNNNNCCGUCUCAAAAAAAAAAAAAAAAAGGUAAGCUAAGUCAAUCAAUAGAAAAAUAGAUCAUCAAGGGAAAGGAAAAGAAAUUUUUAAAAAAUAAUGAACAGUUUAAGAGUUUUAAAGGUAUAUUUCAUUUUUAAAAGUAAUGGAAAUUAAAUAAAAAUGGGAUGCUAUCUCUCAUAGAUCAAAUUAAGAAAGGUAAAACAUAAUAACAUCUAGGGUUAGUCAGAGUGUGGGCUAAUAGGCACUGCUUAUAGUAGCGUACAACAGUGUAGGGGCAAUUUGGCAAAGAAUAUAAAAAAGCUUAAUAAUGGGCUAUGCCCUUUUCUCAAAAGUUAUAAUCUAGAAAUACAUGCUAAGGAAAUAACCAAAGAGAGUAAUUUAAAAAAUCACAAGCAUAGUCAGCACAAUUCUGUUAAUCAAGGCAGGAAAUAAUGAAAAACUUAAAUAACCAACAGUAAGAUCUUGGUUACAAUAAAAUAUAUAACAUCUAAGGGCCAGAUGCAGUGGCUCAUGCCUGUAAUCCACAAACAGUCUCUCAGACCACAGUGAAGACAAAUUAGAACUUAGGAUUAAGAAACUCACUCAAAAUCACACAACUACAUGUAAACUGAACAACCUGCUCCUGAAUGGCUGCUGGGUAAACAACACAAUUAAAGCAGAAAUAAGUAACUUCUUUGAAACCAAUGAGAACACAGACACAACAUACCAGAAUCUCUGGGACACAGAUA